UUUUCAUAAUGAACAAGAGUAUCCUUCAUUGAAGCCUUGUAGUCUCAGUCAACUAGAAGUUUCAGUUGGCAACACUGUCCCUAUGCUUGGAUGUCAUUAUAGACAACCAGCAGCUUUGCCUCGUCAAAGUUCACAGAUCAAACGACGGUGGUCCAAAUCUAGGAUUAAAAUAUGACCGGCCUGCUCCUGAAAGGGGACAGACUGUGCGUUCCGUAGGUGAACCUGCGGAAGGAUCAUUACUGAGAACUUGCCCUUAGGGGUAGAUCUCCCACCCUAUGUUUACAUACUUUGUUGCUUUGGCAGGCCUGCCUUUUGGCUGCUGGCUUCGGCUAGUUAGUGUCUGCCAGAGAACCAACACUAUGAUUAAUUUAAUGUCGGAGUACUAUUCAAUAGUUAAAACUUUCAACAACGGAUCUCUUGGUUCUG
rnacentral:misc_RNA from 1 species